rnacentral:rRNA from 1 species
AGUGAACGCUGGCGGUAGGCCUAACACAUGCAAGUCGAACGGCAGCACAGUAAGAGCUUGCUCUUACGGGUUUCGAGUGGCGUACGGGUCAGGUAUACAUCGGAAUCUACUUUUUCGUUGGGGUUAACGUAGCGAAACUUACUCUAAUACCGCAUACUUCCUACGGGUGUAUGCAGUGGAUCUUUUCACCUUUCGUGUUUGUAUGAGCCGAUGUCGGAUUUGCUAGUUGGCGGGGUAAAGUCCCACCAAGGCGACGAUCCGUAGAUGGUCUGAGAGGAUGAUCAGCGACACUGGAACUGAGACACGGUCCAGACACCUACGGGAGGGAGCAGUGGGGAAUAUUGGACAAUGGACGCAAGCAUGAUCCAGCAAUACCGCGUGGGUGAAGAAGGCGUUCGGGUUGUAAAGACGUUUUGUUGGGAAAGAAAAGCAGCAGGUUAAUACCCGGCUGUAAUGACGGUACCCAAAGAAGAAGCACCGGCUAACUUCGUG